CCUACGGGAGGCAGCAGUGAGGAAUAUUGGUCAAUGGACGAGAGUCUGAACCAGCCAAGUAGCGUGAGGGAUGACUGCUCUAUGGGUUGUAAACCUCUUUUAUAAAGGAAUAAAACGCGGCACGUGUGCCUUUUUGCAUGUACUUUAUGAAUAAGGAUCGGCUAACUCCGUGCCAGCAGCCGCGGUAAUACGGAGGAUCCGAGCGUUAUCCGGAUUUAUUGGGUUUAAAGGGUGCGUAGGCGGGUUGUUAAGUCAGUGGUGAAAGUUUGUGGCUCAACCGUAAAAUUGCAUUUGAUACUGGCGGUCUUGAGUACAUUUGAGGUAGGUGGAAUGCGUGGUGUAGCGGUGAAAUGCUUAGAUAUCACGAAGAACCCCGAUUGCGAAGGCAGCUUACUAAGCUAUGACUGACAUUGAUGCUCGAAAGUGGGGGUAUCGAACAGGAUUAGAUACCCUUGUAGUC
rnacentral:rRNA from 1 species